rnacentral:rRNA from 1 species
AGAGUUUGAUCAUGGCUCAGGACGAACGCUGGCGGUGUGCCUAACACAUGCAAGUCGAACGCAUCUGUGCUUCGGCACAGGUGAGUGGCGAACGGGUGAGUAACACGUGAGUAACUUGCCUGGGGGAGGGGGAUAACCAUCUGAAAAGGUGGCUAAUACCCCAUAUUCUUCUUCAUCGCCAGAUGAAGGAGGAAAGGUGGCGUAAGCUGUCACCCCCAGAGAGGCUCGCGUCCCAUCAGCUAGUUGGUAAGGUAAUGGCUUACCAAGGCUAUGACGGGUAGCUGGUCUGAGAGGAUGGUCAGCCACACUGGGACUGAGACACGGCCCAGACUCCUACGGGAGGCAGCAGUGAGGAAUCUUGGGCAAUGGGCGAAAGCCUGACCCAGCGACACCGCGUGGAGGAAGAAGGUCUUCGGAUCGUAAACUCCUGUUCGGGGAGAAGAACAGGAGAGAAGUGAAUAGCUUCUCUCUGUGACGGUAUCCCCGGAGAAAGCUCCGGCUAAUUACGUGCCAGCAGCCGCGGUAAUACGUAAGGAGCGAGCGUUGUCCGGAUUUACUGGGCGUAAAGGGCUCGUAGGCGGCUUCUUAGGUCUUACGUGAAAUUCCCUGGCUUAACUGGGGAAGGUCGUGGGAAACCGAGGAGCUAGAGGGCAGGAGAGGAGAGUGGAAUUCCCGGUGUAGCGGUGAAAUGCGUAGAGAUCGGGAGGAACACCAGUGGUGAAGACGGCUCUCUGGACUGUUCCUGACGCUGAGGAGCGAAAGCCAGGGGAGCAAACCGGAUUAGAUACCCGGGUAGUCCUGGCCGUAAACGAUGGGUACUAGGUGGUGGGGGGGUUCGACCCCCUCCGUGCCGCAGUUAACGCAUUAAGUACCCCGCCUGGGGAUUACGACCGCAAGGGUUAAAACUCAAGGAAUUGACGG